AACGAACGCUGGCGGCAUGCCUUAUACAUGCAAGUCGAACGAGAACGUACCUUCGGGUACUAGUGGAGUGGCAAACGGGUGAGUAACGCGUGGGAAUAUACCUUAUAGUACGGAAUAGCCUCGGGAAACUGGGAUUAAUACCGUAUACGCCCUUUGGGGGAAAGAUUUAUCGCUAUAAGAUUAGCCCGCGUUAGAUUAGCUUGUUGGUGGGGUAAAAGCCUACCAAGGCAACGAUCUAUAGCUGGUCUGAGAGGACGAUCAGCCACACUGGGACUGAGACACGGCCCAG
rnacentral:rRNA from 1 species